UUCAGUUAUGAAUAAAACUCGACGAUGUUUCUGCUAAAUUUAAAACUAACAUAGCUAUAUUCGGGAUCGUCAGUCACUUCAUAGACUGAUCUAAGUGUAUUCAGUACUUUCGCGUAGUCAGCGUAGUAUUUUAUGCAAAACAAGUUCCCGAGGAUUAAAGAUAUGGUUAACGUAAUGUGAAGAUGAUUGUUGAAGAUUGUCUACAUAUAAACAUCUAUAAAGGUUCUACAUUUAACAUUUAUUGAAAAUUUGUAUAAAUAAAUAAAUAAUGUAUCAUUA